UAUCACAUACAAGAUCAAGAUGUUGAAAAUAAAAAAUCAGAUUUAGAUCAGAUAAAUACCCUUUUCGUAGAGUGAGAUUUCUAUAGAGCCACAUACGCAUCCGAUCUCUACGGAUAUCCACAUGACAUCUUCGAUCCAAUCUGAAGCCUUUGUCUUCCCCAGGGUGCUAGUAGUUUCCUUAUAAAAGAUACCUUUUUGAUGGC
rnacentral:lncRNA from 1 species